rnacentral:rRNA from 1 species
GUGGGGAAUUUUGGACAAUGGGCGCAAGCCUGAUCCAGCAAUGCCGCGUGCAGGAAGAAGGCCUUCGGGUUGUAAACUGCUUUUGUACGGAACGAAACGGUCCGGGUUAAUACCCUGGGCUAAUGACGGUACCGUAAGAAUAAGCACCGGCUAACUACGUGCCAGCAGCCGCGGUAAUACGUAGGGUGCAAGCGUUAAUCGGAAUUACUGGGCGUAAAGCGUGCGCAGGCGGUUUUGUAAGACAGGCGUGAAAUCCCCGGGCUCAACCUGGGAAUUGCGAUUGUGACUGCAGUGCUGGAGUGCGGCAGAGGGGGAUGGAAUUCCGCGUGUAGCAGUGAAAUGCGUAGAUAUGCGGAGGAACACCGAUGGCGAAGGCAAUCCCCUGGGCCUGCACUGACGCUCAUGCACGAAAGCGUGGGGAGCAAACAGGAUUAGAAACCCGGGUAGUCC